CCCACUUCCUGGGGAAGAUUUGGUAAAAAUCCUCACCAAUUUGCAUAGGUGACCAUAGACCCAAACCCUUGGAUCUUAGAAGAAUGAGAAAGCAUUCAUUUUUCUUAUGAGAAGACUUUAAGAGAAG